rnacentral:rRNA from 1 species
UACGGAGGGGGCUAGCGUUGUUCGGAAUUACUGGGCGUAAAGCGUGCGUAGACGGUCAAGUAAGUCGGGUGUGAAAGCCCCGGGCUCAACCUGGGAAUUGCAUUCGAGACUGCGUGGCUAGGGUGCGGAAGAGGGAAGCGGAAUUUCCGGUGUAGCGGUGAAAUGCGUAGAUAUCGGAAGGAACACCAGUGGCGAAAGCGGCUUCCUGGUCCAGCACCGACGUUCAGGCACGAAAGCGUGGGGAGCAAACAGG